GACGAACGCUGGCGGCGUGCUUAACACAUGCAAGUCGAACGCUGAAGCUCAGCUUUUGUUGGGUGGAUGAGUGGCGAACGGGUGAGUAACACGUGAGUAACCUGCCCCCUUCUUUGGGAUAACGCCCGGAAACGGGUGCUAAUACUGGAUAUUCACUGGUCUUCGCAUGGGGGGUGGUGGAAAGGGUUUUUCUGGUGGGGGAUGGGCUCGCGGCCUAUCAGCUUGUUGGUGGGGUGAUGGCCUACCAAGGCUUUGACGGGUAGCCGGCCGGAGAGGGUGACCGGUCAUAUUGCGACGGAGAUACGGCCCAGAGUGCUACGGGAGGCAGCAGUGGCGAAUAUUGCACAAUGGGCGCAAGCCUGAUGCAGCGACGCCGCGUGAGGGUUGGAGUCCUUCGGGUUGUGAACCUCUUUCGCUCAUGGUCAAGCCGAAACAAUGGUUGUGGUGAGGGUAGUGGGUAAAGAAGCGCCGGCUAACUACGUG
rnacentral:rRNA from 1 species